UUUCAUUCGCAAAGCACGCUCCAUCUGAUUCCUCCAAUGGCGCUCGGCAACCGGAUGGCGAAGCCAAGGGGGCGGCCACCAUGGCGCUGCCGCCUCCAGCGGCAGGGCGGCUCCCGACAGCUCCACAUCCGGGAGCAGACUCGUGGCCGCGACGCUCGUCGGCGCCUGCGCAAGGCGUUGUCCCGCAUCCGAAGGCCUUGGCGGCCUGAUCCCUGCCCACCUGCACCUGAUGCUGGACGCAGACGCCGCCGAGGAGGAGGUCCGGUAAGGUGGCCGGCGCGCCUUCCUCAGCCCCUCCCCUCUCCGACCUCCCUGCCCCUCUCCUCCUACGUCGCCGGCCGGCCGACCAACCGCGCAGACAUGACUGGGGUCGCCGCUCAUGGAUCUACGUGCGGAGCGUGGUCCCGGCGCCCCGCCAUGGCGUCCGCCUCCGCGCGCGACCUACCCUCCUCGCCCACCACCUGCUCGACGGAUUGCCUCCCCUACAACCACUUGCGCAUGCACUCGCAAAACAGACAGGGUGGGCAUAAACCGCAAGGUGCUGCUUCUCUCGACCUCCGCGACGACCUCAACACGCCCUCGGUUGCCGAGCAGCGGGCGGCGCACUGGAAGGUUCGAUGGAGGUUGCCAGAGUUUGCGCCUGCCAAGGUGUUGGAUUUUGGUGCCGAGCCAAGCUCAGUGCUUUGGUGCCUACAGGCUACCAGGCUACCAUUCUGGGCCUUUCAUUGCUGUGGUCACUACUUGAUCAGGUUAAACUCUCACUGCCCUGGCUUUUCUUGAAAGAUAAAAUUAUUGGCACAGAUUAGGCUAUUAUCAGGAUCAUUGUAACAACUUGCCAUGUAUCAUACAUGCCUUUGUUUCUUAAACAAAACCGUUAAGGAUCUCUAACUCCCAGAUUAUUUUGAGAAGAUACCCUUCUAAACCGAACUUCGCGGCAACUAGGGCCAUGUGUGAUUCAUAUGUGUAAUGCAUUUGCUUUCCUGUGCAUUUUUCACAAGCUACUAUGCAUUUAGGUUUAAGUCGAGUUAUGGUGACAUUACUCUCAAGUUUCCCAGUAGUUAAAUGGACUCAAUCGAUAUUAAGGGUUUGCAACUAAAUCGCUUUAAUGUAAGCCAAGUCUAAGACUAGAACAUUUCUGGUUCAGUAAGUUUCUAUUACUUCCUGUUUAAUUUUUCCCUUUUGCUAAUACAGAUUGAGUUAACCGUGAUAUCUACUGCCAUUUUUUUUAUCAAUGCUAUCAUGUUUUACACUACUUUUGGUAUAUGAAUGCAUGCAAGUGAAAUGGAAAAGGGAAGAAAGAAAGUAACUACUGAAAAAAAAGAUUAGUUACAUAAAAACUUACAGAACAUUUUAUUGUCCAUACAGGGGUAAAGGGUUGCUAUAACACAUGAAUCUUAGCAAUUGGAAUCGAAGUAAAACUGCAGCGCCAUCGACAUUUUUUUUUGAUAAUGCACCAUCCACAAUUGUAGGAGGAUGGUCUGAGGAGUAUGAAGGGCUCAUGUAAACUUCGGUGAGGGUUCAGGGAACGAAGUGUCGUUGUUUUAACCCAGGAAGGCCCACAAUAGUCUACUCUUGCACUUGAGCAGGUUAUAUCUGAAACAGACCGGGUUUCCGAAAGGCGAACCCGACUCUCUGUAACGUCGUGAUAAUCCCUGGAUUAGUAGCUAUCACAUACAGAUCUCAUUUCAAUCGAGUAUCACAGACAUAUCUCGCGUUUACAACAUCACAUGGAUUUAUUUAUUA